UGUAUUCCCAACAAGAGCAGCUGCUCCACGUUAGGACCACUGUACCUGCUGCUUGCCAGGCUGCCGUCUAAGAGGUAGGAAAAACAUAUAAACUCUUCAAAUCCUGAGCACAUACUUCACAGGGAGAAGAGAAGUGCAGAUACAAAGAGCUCACUUGGCUUUCUUUCUUUUUUUUUUUUUUCCCAGAGCUGCCUAAAUUUUAUCUCAUGAGGAAUCCACUGAAGGACUUCUUGGGGAAGAGAGUGCAAGUCAAGAUAUUCAGAAACCAGACCCAGCCCAUAUAGAAAUCAUUGUGAAGUGUCAUAAAACAACAUACCCAGGUAUUUGUUGGAAUAAUGAGGGAUGAAAACUCACAACCAAUAUUUGAUCAACUAACUACAAAGUACUUAUUAAGCAGCUACCAUGUGCAAAACUAGGUCCUAAAUUCUGUAAGGAUUAAAAAGAAAUGUCAAAUUCAAAUUGGAAAAACCUUUCUAGAGGUCAUUUAGUCAAUAUAUAAUUAAAGCCUUAAAGCUUGCCACUUUUUCACCCACCAAGCAGUUCUAUGUCUAGGAAUUUAUCACAAGAAAAUAAUUUAAAAUGUUGACAGAGUUUAAAGGAAGUGUUUACUGAUGCUUUUUAAAAGGAAAAGGUGGAAAUUGAAAAAAUCAACAAAUGUACUUGUAAAUAACUGACA
rnacentral:lncRNA from 1 species